rnacentral:rRNA from 1 species
AUUGAACGCUGGCGGCAUGCCUUACACAUGCAAGUCGAACGGUAACAGGUCUUCGGAUGCUGACGAGUGGCGAACGGGUGAGUAAUACAUCGGAACGUGCCUAGUAGUGGGGGAUAACUACUCGAAAGAGUGGCUAAUACCGCAUGAGAUCUACGGAUGAAAGCAGGGGAUCGCAAGACCUUGUGCUACUAGAGCGGCCGAUGGCAGAUUAGGUAGUCGGUGGGAUAAAAGCUUACCAAGCCGACGAUCUGUAGCUGGUCUGAGAGGACGAUCAGCCACACUGGGACUGAGACACGGCCCAGACUCCUACGGGAGGCAGCAGUGGGGAAUUUUGGACAAUGGGCGAAAGCCUGAUCCAGCAAUGCCGCGUGCAGGAUGAGGGCCUUCGGGUUGUAAACUGCUUUUGUACGGAACGAAAAGCCCCGGGUUAAUACCCUGGGGUCAUGACGGUACCGUAAGAAUAAGCACCGGCUAACUACGUGCCAGCAGCCGCAGUAA